GAUGAACGCUGGCGGCGUGCUUAACACAUGCAAGUCGAACGGGAUCCCAGGGGUGCUUGCACUUUUUGGUGAGAGUGGCGAACGGGUGAGUAACACGUGAGUAACCUGUCCUUUUCUUUGGGAUAAGCAUUCGAAAGGGUGUUUAAUACCUUAUGUUCUGUCUGCCUCGCAUGGGGUGGGUGGGAAAGGCUUUGGCCGGAUUUGGGUGGGCUCGCGGUCUAUCAGCUUGUUGGUGGGGUGAUGGCUUACCAAGGCUUUGACGGGUAGCCGGCCUGAGAGGGUGGUCGGUCACAUUGGGACUGAGAUACGGCCCAGACUCCUGCGGGAGGCAGCAGUGGGGGAAAUUGCACAAUGGGCGAAAGCCUGAUGCAGCGACGCCGCGUGGGGGAUGAAGGCCUUCGGGUUGUAAACUUCUUUUGCUCUGAACAAGGCAUGCCAGUGGGUGUGUUGAGUGUAGGGGUUGAUUAGCGCCGGCUAACUACGUG
rnacentral:rRNA from 1 species